UACGUAAAAGACUAGUGUUAUUCAUCUUUAGUAGGUUUAAAGGGUACCUAGACGGUAUAAUUAGUCUUAAACAAGAAACGGUUAUGCUAGAGUUAUAUAUGAGAAGGGGAGUAUUUAUGGAGUAGAGUUGAAAUUCUUUGAUCCCAUAACGACUGGUAGCGGCGAAAGCAACCUUUUAUCUAAUAACUGACGUUGAGGACGAAGGCUCGGUCACGAACAGG
rnacentral:rRNA from 1 species